CUUUAAAAAUAAUCCUCAGGGUGACUGUCCACUUCCCCAUCUAACCUAGCGUAAAAAAUACUCAGGCUUACCUGUCUCUUGGGGACUUCAUUUCCUGAUGAAGCCUCCUGUGUCAUGGAAAACAUAUUAAGUGGACAUGUAUUUGUUUCCCUGGUUGAUCUGUCUUAUUAUAGAGGCUUCAGCUGAGACUUUCUGGUUAGCUUUCUGCCCUUUAAUGGUAAACUUUGCUAUGUAUCUUUACACACAGGCGCACACCCCAAACCCCAGCAAUGCAGUACCUUUUGCCAAUGGAAGGAGAAGCAAUGACACAGUCACAUUUAUGAGCUGUUCAGCAGCCAGAAAACAUGUAAAGCAGAUGAAAGGAAUGCGUAAAAUAGAAGACUGGCAUAAAUGAAGUUUUGGAGGAAGAACAAAGGAUGCAAAAUGGAGCAGAAAUAAGAUGAAAAAUGCAUGUCCUUGUGGGAUAGACAUGGGAACAGCGCAUCUCGGGCCAUUUCUCCUUCCUCUGUGAGGUUGCUGCAUGGUGGGUGUGUGUCUUCAGAGCAGGGCCUGGAGAUGGCGCCUCUUCUCUCCCUGCACCAGGAGCACAGAGCCCCAGCACCGCGGGCCCAUCUGACUGAUGAGUGUGCAAACUCACCCCAGCAGAGAGAAGGAAUUGUUCCAGAGGACCUGGGGAGCCGGAGCCCAACAGUGCUGAUGUCCAAAUGUGGCAGAUCAUAACGCAAGCCCAUCUCUCCCUCUUUGUCUUCGAGUGGCAUCUUUAGCAGCUUUGGAUUUGCUGUCUUAUCCUCACCCCGGGAGAAGAGCCAGCUCCUUUCUGCAAAGCAUUUUCUGGCGCAGGCACCUAGUGAGUCUCCUUUUUCCUCUCUUAAUUUCAUAAACGUGACUUCAAAAACCUGACCUGGCAAGUUAUGCAGCCCUAUUUCUAGAAUUCAGAGUAAGCUUUUCAUAAUAAUAACAAAAGUAAAAGCCAUUUUUAGACACAUUUUUUUCUUUCUCUUUUUUGCAGUACUGGGACUUGAACUCAGGAGUGCUCUACUACUGAGCUGUAUCUGCAAACCCUUUUUAUUUUUUAGUUUGAGACAGUCUUGCUGUGUUGUCCAGGCUGGACCAAAACGUGUAACCCUCCCAGCUCAGCCUCCCUAGUAGCUGGAAUCACAAGUGUGCACCACAGGGCUCCUCAGUAAAACCCUUUUGUUUAUUAUGUAGCAUAGCAGCGAUAAGGAUCAAGACUUGCAGUUUUGGGUGAUCCGGGUUUGAAUCCAGACUCUGCUGCAGAUUAGCUGUGGGACUCUGAGCUUGUCAUCUAACCUCUCUGAUUUGUAAUUUUCCUCAUUGACAAAUUGGGACUAAGAUUAGUGCCUGGCCUUGUAGAUGCUUUAUAAAUGACACGUUCUCCCAUGCACAAUGCUUCUGUGAGGGCAGGAAGUGGUCCCUCCUCUGCGACUCCUUCCCAGUGAUGGCCCAGGCUCUGCUAGAAUGCAGCAAACACUCACUGAAUCGUUCCGAAAAUGAGGCAUGAGUGAGCACUGGCUUGGAAUCGGGGUCCGUCUGUCGUCAACCAAGCGGAGAGCUGGGCAAUUAUCGGACCUCUGGUUUCCCAGUGAUGGCCCAGGCUCUGCUAGAAUGCAGCAAACACUCACUGAAUCGUUCCGAAAAUGAGGCAUGAGUGAGCACUGGCUUGGAAUCGGGGUCCGUCUGUUGUCAACCAAGUGGAGAGCUGGGCAAUUAUCGGACCUCUGAGCUUCACCAGCCAUAAAGUGGGAAAGUAAUAGACUUGCCCAUAGGCUGUGAUGACCAGAUUAAUUGAGAGACAUUGAGAUAAAGCACAUAAAAUGUUUAGUGUGGUGCUUCAUGGCAGACCUUGUCCACUUUUAUUAGUACUUUAUUUCCAGUGAGUAGCAGCUUACUACUUAAAAGUGUCCUGAUUUCCACCAUCCCACACGAUCCUGGAGACAAUCUGUGAGGCUGGGCAGCCUGCGGUCAGUCCCCAUUUUACAGAUAGGAAAAGCGAGUUUCAGAAAUUGCUGAAGCUCGAAGAGCAGGCUGGCUGCAGAGCCUAAACCCCACAGCUCUGUGUCCUGUUUAAUAAACCAUUUAUCACCUCCA
ensembl:lincRNA